AGGGUUUGAUUAUGGCUCAGAUUGAACGCUGGCGGCAGGCCUAACACAUGCAAGUCGAGCGGUAACAGGAAGUAGCUUGCUACUUCGCUGACGAGCGGCGGACGGGUGAGUAAUGCCUGGGAAUAUGCCUUGAUGUGGGGGAUAACUAUUGGAAACGAUAGCUAAUACCGCAUAAUGCCUACGGGCCAAAGAGGGGGAUCUUCGGACCUCUCGCGUCAAGAUUAGCCCAGGUGGGAUUAGCUAGUUGGUGGGGUAAAGGCUCACCAAGGCGACGAUCCCUAGCUGGUCUGAGAGGAUGAUCAGCCACACUGGAACUGAGACACGGUCCAGACUCCUACGGGAGGCAGCAGUGGGGAAUAUUGCACAAUGGGGGAAACCCUGAUGCAGCCAUGCCGCGUGUAUGAAGAAGGCCUUCGGGUUGUAAAGUACUUUCAGCAGUGAGGAAGGUGGUAGUGUUAACAGCACUAUCAUUUGACGCUAGCUGCAGAAGAAGCACCGGCUAACUCCGUGC
rnacentral:rRNA from 1 species